GAACGCUAGCGGCAGGCUUAACACAUGCAAGUCGAGGGGUAGAGGAAGCUUGCUUCCUUGAGACCGGCGCACGGGUGCGUAACGCGUAUGCAACCUACCUUUUACUAGAGGAUAGCCCAGAGAAAUUUGGAUUAAUACCUCAUAGUAUGUGAGAAUCGCAUGGUUUUCACAUUAAAGUUCCAACGGUAAAAGAUGAGCAUGCGUCCCAUUAGCUAGAUGGUAAGGUAACGGCUUACCAUGGCGACGAUGGGUAGGGGUCCUGAGAGGGAGAUCCCCCACACUGGUACUGAGACACGGACCAGACUCCUACGGGAGGCAGCAGUGAGGAAUAUUGGACAAUGGGCGCAAGCCUGAUCCAGCCAUGCCGCGUGCAGGAUGACGGUCCUAUGGAUUGUAAACUGCUUUUGUACAGGAAGAAACACUCCCUCGUGAGGGAGCUUGACGGUACUGUAAGAAUAAGGAUCGGCUAACUCCGUG
rnacentral:rRNA from 1 species